rnacentral:lncRNA from 1 species
CUGGCAGUAUUGGAUGUGGGUUAUCCCAUUGACACAGUUGUAAAAAGAAUUUGGGUCAUUAGGGUUGGUGUAAACCCCAUCACUCUUUCCAGCACAGGUACCUCCAUUAGCUGUAUCACAACUGGGUGGAGUUGUGGUUGUAAUGGGAGUUGUGGUACCUCCAUUAGCUGUAUCACAACUGGGUGGAGUUGUGGUUGUAAUGGGAGUUGUGGUGGUUGUAGUGGGAGUUGUGGUGGUCGUAGUGGGAGCUCUGGUGGUCGUAGUGGGAGCUCUGGUGGUUGUAGUGGGAGUUCUGGUGGUUGGAGUUGUGGUACCUCCAUUAGCUGUAUCACAACUGGGUGGAGUUGUGGUUGUAAUGGGAGUUGUGGUGGGUGCUGUGGUGGUCAUAGUGGGAGCUGCCGUGGUCGUAGAAGUGCCUGUAGGGUAAUCACAGCAUUUACAGCUUUCUUUAAAGACCAAACCUGUUUGGCAGUAUUGGAUGUGGGUUAUCCCGUGUCCGCAGUUGUAAAAAGUAUUUGGGUCAUUAGGGUUGGUGUAAACCCCAUCACUCUUUUCAGGACAGGAACCUCCACUAGCUGUACUCCUCACGGAGUAAAUCAGUUUGUCCCCCAUUUUUACAUUUGCUCAUUUCCAAUAAUUACCAACAUGUAAUUUCUUUUAAGACUGCGAUUCAUAUUUUAAACUUACCUAGGCUGGCGAUAAUCAAACAGAGAC